AGAUGAAACAAAGAAAUAUUUACCUGAGACUCUUCUAACAAGCAGUCUCAGCCAGUCACAGGAGCCAAACUUCAGUCAACCACAGGCAGUCAAAUGUUCAAACCAGGUCAAAUAAGGUAAAUCCCCAGCUGUCACCAAUUGAGCUGUUUCUGUACCUCACUUUUAUUUUCUAUAGAUUACUUUCCUUUUUCUGUCCAUAAAUCGUAUCUAACCAUGUGACAGUCCUGGAGUCGCUCUGAACCUACUCUGGUUCUGGGGGCUGCCUGAUUUGUGAAUCAUUCGUUGCUCAAUUAAGCUCUGUUAAAUUUAAUUUGUCUAAAAUUGUUCUAUUAACAGCCUUCUGGGGCUGAUUUGGUCGCAGGCAGCAGAGCAGUUGAAGAAGCAAAUUAGUAAAUGGUAGCAGAACAGAAUCUGUUCCAAGCACACAUGAUCCCAGGAAUGGAUGGAGAGAGAUGUCAGUCAUGGGACUUUCCACAGAGAAGGUGGGAGCAGAGACACAGCCACAUUGUACUGUGAGGUUGGUGAAGGUCUCAAAAAAGGAUUAAGCAAAUGACAACAAAGAUAAUACCUUCCAUUUAUCACUCUAAUUACAUACAGCCCCUUCUGCAUUGUCUUUGGUUUGUUGAUUGAGAGGGAAAAAUAUCUUCUUUCUUAAAUAAUCCAGAAAAAAACUUUUAUUUAUUUAAGACACAGUCUUGCUCUGUCUUCCAGGCUGGAGUGCAGUGGUGUGACCAUGGUAUACUACAGCUUCAAACUCCUGGGCUCAAGUGAUCCUUCUACCUCAGCCUCCUAAGUAGCUGGGACUAGAGGUGCACACCACAGUGCCCAGUUAUUUUUUUAUCUUUAUCUUUGUAGAGACAGGGGUCUCACUAUGUUAUACAGGUGGCUCUCGGAACUCCUCAAGUGAUCUUCCUGCAUCAGCCUCCCAAAG
rnacentral:lncRNA from 1 species